rnacentral:rRNA from 1 species
UACAGAGGUGGCAAGCGUUGUUCGGAAUUACUGGGCGUAAAGGGCGCGUAGGCGGCCUACUAAGUCAGACGUGAAAUCCCCAGGCUUAACUUGGGAACUGCGUCUGAUACUGGGAGGCUUGAGUGCGGGAGAGGGAUGUGGAAUUCCAGGUGUAGCGGUGAAAUGCGUAGAUAUCUGGAGGAACACCGGUGGCGAAGGCGGCAUCCUGGACCGACACUGACGCUGAGGCGCGAAAGCUAGGGGAGCAAACGGG